rnacentral:rRNA from 1 species
GACGAACGCUGGCGGCGUGCUUAACACAUGCAAGUCGAACGGAAAGGCCCUGCUUUUGUGGGGUGCUCGAUUGGCGAACGGGUGAGUAACACGUGAGUAACCUGCCCUUGACUUUCGGAUAACUUCAGGAAACUGGGGCUAAUACCGGAUAGGAGCUCCUGCUGCAUGGUGGGUGUUGGAAAGUUUCGGCGGUUGGGGAUGGACUCGCGGCUUAUCAGCUUGUUGGUGGGGUAGUGGCUUACCAAGGCUUUGACGGGUAGCCGGCCUGAGAGGGUGACCGGCAACAUUGGGACUGAGAUACGGCCCAGACUCGUACGGGAGGCAGCAGUGGGGAAUAUAGCACAAUGGGCGGAAGCCUGAUGCAGCAACGCCGCGUGCGGGAUGACGGCCUGCGGGUUGUAAACCGCUUACGCCUGUGACGAAGCGUGAGUGAAGGUAAUGGGUAAAGAAGCACCGGCUAACUCCGUG